rnacentral:misc_RNA from 1 species
GGAAGGAUCAUUAUCGAAGAGAAAUCCGGAGGGGAAGGUGAAAGAGAGAAUUUGGUAGGAACGGUAGGGACAGUCGCUGGCCUUUGGAAACGAAGGCAUGUGCACGUCUCGAAGUCUUGCUUUAUUUAGUACCUCGAAUCUCUUUCCUUUUGUGAGCCCCUUUUCUUACACCUGUGCACCCAUUGUAGGUCCCGCGAGGGAUCUAUGUCUCUAUCUACUCUAAUUCGUAUGGCCUAGAAUGUCUUGAAACGUCGUCCGGCCUGGCUAACGCUCGGUCGGCGGCAGUAAAGAACCUUUAUACAACUUUCAGCAACGGAUCUCUUGGCUCUCGCAUCGAUGAAGAACGCAGCGAAUUGCGAUACGUAAUGUGAAUUGCAGAUUUUCAGUGAAUCAUCGAAUCUUUGAACGCACCUUGCGCUCCUUGGUAUUCCGAGGAGCAUGCCUGUUUGAGUGUCAUUAAAUUCUCAACCAUCCCUUGAUUUAUUUCGAGGGUUGGCUUGGAUAUUGGGAGCUGCCGGCGACUCACUGGGGUCUUGUCGGCUCUCCUUAAAAGUAUUAGCGAACGGUGUGAC